rnacentral:rRNA from 1 species
AUUGAACGCUGGCGGCAGGCCUAACACAUGCAAGUCGAACGAGUGGCGGACGGGUGAGUAAUGUCUGGGAAACUGCCUGAUGGAGGGGGAUAACUACUGGGAACGGUAGCUAAUACCGCCUACCAUCGGAUGUGCCCAGAUGGGCUUAGCUAGUAGGUGGGGUAAAGGCUCACCUAGGCGACGAUCCCUAGCUGGUCUGAGAGGAUGACCACCCACACUGGAACUAGGACACGGUCCCGACGCCUCCGGCAGGCAGCAGUGGGGAAUAUGGCACAAUGGGCGCAAGCCUUAUGCAGCCAGGCGGGGGGUAGGAAGAAGGCCUUCGGGUUGUAAAGUACUUUCAGCGGGGAGGCGUUACCCGCAGAAGAAGCACCGGCUAACUCCGUGCCAGCCGCCGCGGUAAUAC